GGGAGACAGAAGUGGGGGAGGGGGCGGGUUCUGGGGUCGAGCCCACAACCAACACCAGGCCCCAGUCUCUGUGACCUCAGCGCCCACUGUGAGUUCACAGAGGAAGCCGGCAGUGUCGUCGGCAACAGAGACCCCCCCCCCACCCCACCCCACCCCACCCCCCCAAGAAACCUCGAGUGAGGAACCGCCCCCCCCCCAAUCCACCUGCCCUGUGCCUCAGUGUGGGACGCCGGUGUGCUGAGGGGGUGGAGGGAGGGCGAUAUUUCAGGACGGAGGCGUUCGGAGCCACCGCGCAGUCCCGCCAUGUUCCGGUGGAUCUGCCUCACCCUCGCGCUCCUCUGGGCCUCGGCGGCUGAACUCGACUUUGUCCAGGUCUUCGACAUCCUGAUCGCGUCCGAGGACGGCAGCUCCCCUCCGCGCCCGGAGAUCCUGUUCCUCAAUGCCUCGGGCAUCGUGCUGGCACGGGCCGGGGACCCCGUCACCCUGUACUGCCGCGUCCUGCUGGUGGGCGACGGGCCCGACCCCAGGUACCGGGUGCGGUGGGUCACCGGCCCGCUCGGCGAGGUCACCGUGGCCCGGGUGGACCAGAGGCGGGCGCGAGGACCCUGGGUCCACCCCCGGUACCGGGACCGGGUCAGCCUGCUCUCCCAGGGUCCCGAGAACCACCUCCACUUCAGCAGGGUGGACCCUGGCGACUUCGGGGAGUAUACCUGCCGGGGGGAGAUCGCCGGGCACGGGGGGCAGUUAUUCUCCUCCAUCUCCCUGCUGGCUGAAGAUGUGUCUCCAGCAGUGCCAGUGAGCCCCCCAAGAUCUGCCCCCCAGCUCCCACCAGGCUCCGCCCCCUCUCUCCCCCCAGGCUCCGCCCCCCAGCUCCCCCUGGGCUCCGCCUCCCCUCUCCCACUGGGCUCCGCCCCCCAGCUCCCCCUGGUCUCCGAACCCCAGCUCCCCCCAGGCUCCGCCCCCUCCUCCCUCCAAGACUCCGCCCCCCAGCUCUCACCAGGCUCCACCCCCUCCCUCCCAGGCUCCGCCCCCUCACCACCUCCGGGCUCCUCCCCCUCCCUCCCGGGCUCUGCCCCUCAGUACCCCGGCCCCGCCCACCAGCCCCACAUCGUGGCCCUUGACACCUCGGCCGUGGUGCGCGCUCCGCUGGGCUCCGCGGUCUCCCUGCACUGCCGGGUGCGCGCCCUGCACGCGGGCCCCGGCACGCGGUACCGGCUGCGCUGGGAGGCACUGGGGCCGGGGGGUGUCCUGACCCUGGCCCAGCAGGACCAGGCCAGCCCGGAGCCCCCCCGCCUGCACCCCUCCUACAGCGAGCGCCUCGCCGUGAGCUCCCGCGGGCCCAACACCCAGCUCCGCCUCCGCGCCCUGCACCCCGACGACCCCGGGGAGUAUCGGUGCACGGCCGGCGUCUCCGGGCAGGACGAGGAGGUCAGCUCGGGGCCCAUUCACCUGGUCAAGGGUAAGUGCUGCACUGGGCGGCGGUGUGUUGGGGCGUGUGGAGUGUGUGUGUGUGUGUUUGUAUCUGCUCAGUGUAUCUGUAGUCACUCUGCAUUGGGUGGGGCACAGAGGCGGUGGGUGUCCCCGACAUGGGGACUGGGAGCCCCCACCCCCUACACCCCCAUCUCCGGGUGUCCCCACUGGAGGAGCACCAAACGCAGGGGAGGAAGAUCCUGGUAACUGUCCCCGGCCACACGCAGGGCACUCCCUCCCCAGGGGAGAUCAACCAGACUCCCUGCCUCCCCUGACGAAUCCAGGGCUGGCGGGGGCCCAGGUCGGCGGGGCGGGAAGAGCGGCUGCCUCAACAACCCCCGGUUCGAUCCCCGUCUCCGACGCGGUGCGCUGGGAUUUUCGGUAGAGGAGCCCUCGGGGGGAGUCGGAGGGCUGGGAUGGACGAUCAGGGACUGAUGCCCGACCCUGUCUUCUGUGCCCACAGAGAGGCAGAAAAUGAUGCCUGUUUCGUCCAAGACAGCCAUCCUCUGGCUCAUUCUCCACUUCCUCGUGGUGAUCUUCGCCAUGGCGAUUGGCGUUGGAUCCUGCUUCCUGACUGGAAGAAAGAAUCGAAUACAGGCCGAGAAUGUCUG